AGCGAACGCUGGCGGCAGGCCUAACACAUGCAAGUCGAACGGACCCUUCGGGGUUAGUGGCUGACGGGUGAGUAACACGUGGGAACGUGCCUUUAGGUUCGGAAUAGCUCCUGGAAACGGGUGGUAAUGCCGAAUGUGCCCUUCGGGGGAAAGAUUUAUCGCCUUUAGAGCGGCCCGCGUCUGAUUAGCUAGUUGGUGAGGUAACGGCUCACCAAGGCGACGAUCAGUAGCUGGUCUGAGAGGAUGACCAGCCACACUGGGACUGAGACACGGCCCAGACUCCUACGGGAGGCAGCAGUGGGGAAUCUUGCGCAAUGGGCGAAAGCCUGACGCAGCCAUGCCGCGUGAAUGAUGAAGGUCUUAGGAUUGUAAAAUUCUUUCACCGGGGACGAUAAUGACGGUACCCGGAGAAGAAGCCCCGGCUAACUUCGU
rnacentral:rRNA from 1 species